AUGGAUCAAAUUGAUGAGAGAGAUUGGGGAGACGACAACAAGGACGUCAUUGAUGCCAUCCUCAAAGACUGGCGCUGGGAUGAGGGGUGGGAAGGUGGAUCUACAACGGGGAGGCGGAGAAAACCGUUGGCGACCACAAGGGCAGGUCAUCUUCUUGCGGGUGACGACGACGAUGCACUUGAUCCGCGUGGUGGCACUCGUGGCAGGCCACCUCGACUCCGCGAGGCAGCAGCUUCGAUCUCGAGCGACGACGUGCACUUCUCGUCGACCUCGAGCAGAUCUGGCUGGGGAGCAGGAGGAGGAGAUUGUGGUGAAGGAUGGCAGGAGAUGAGUUGA
rnacentral:rRNA from 1 species